rnacentral:sRNA from 1 species
GUAUGUAGUGCAGUGUUGUUGGUAAUUACUGAAUCGCCUUGCUAAUGCCUAAUGGCUGCCCUGCUUGCUAUCAUAUGCAUGCCAAUGUGAAGGACAGGUUUGGCUUGGUUUGAACGCUGAGAGAGAUUGAAUAACACGAGACCUCCUGUAUCUGGC